GGAACUGAGAGCCUUGAAACUUUUUCACCAUCACAGGCUUCCAAUCUUUUUGUAAAUAAGGUGUACCUGAGAGAACAGAGACACUGUUCUUAUAGUUGUUGUUGUCCAAGGACAGUGUGUGGUCUGUAGGCCACAGAUUUAUGAAGUAAUUCUUUUGGCUUAUGGGACAAUAGUCAUAUGGCAAGCUGAUAGGGCAGUGAGAGGCAGUGAAAGCUUGUGGCUUCUGUUUCUGUCCGUUCGCCUACUCUGCAGAAUCAGAGUGACUCCAGUGCUUGAAAUCUCACAUUUGGCUUGA
rnacentral:lncRNA from 1 species